rnacentral:misc_RNA from 1 species
UUGUGAAUAGCUGUUUCAUUCUAUUUUAAACUUCAGAGUUGCAAAACUCUGCGACAGUCAGUUACGCUUCUUCACUACGUUGUGAAUGAAGAGUUUUGUAUUCGUAUAAGUUGAGACCUUCCUUGACGCCAUGAUCCGUGGGGACGAUAUUUGCCGGAUGAGUUUCGUGGCGUUACUAACGUCGGCGUUGCUAGCGUCGACCGAGGCAUUCACUGCUCGUAAUCUCAUGUAUCCCGGACGGACCGAUCUUUUUGAAUUAUCCGUCAUUCAUCUCAACGACUUUCAUGCCAGGUUUGUCCAAACUGGAUCCACUUCAGGCACUUGUUACGAGGGAUACGAGGACGAAUGCGUUGGCGGUAUAGCGAGGGUGUACACAGCUACAAAUCAGCUCGUGAACGAAAGACCGAAUGCAAUUUUCCUCAAUGCCGGUGACAAUUUUCAAGGCACACUUUGGUACAACGUGCAUGGGUGGAACGUCACGGCAACGUUUAUGAACAUGUUACCACAUGACGCUAUGACUCUUGGAAAUCACGAGUUUGACAACAGGAUCGCUGGCGUAGUGCCUUUUCUGGAAAUGCUCACCACUCCGGUCGUCGUUACAAAUAUCGACGAUAGUGAAGAACCGGAUAUCCAAGGAUUGUACACCAAUAGCACGAUUGUUGAACGAAAUGGAACUCAGAUAGGAAUAAUCGGAGUAAUACUCUCGACAACUAACACUCUCGCAAGCACGGAGAAGCUGGCUUUUUGGGAUGAAAUUGAGACCGUGAAUGAUGAAGCGGCGAGACUAAAGGCACAGGGGAUUGAAAUCAUCAUUGUUCUAAGUCACUGCGGUCUGGAUGUGGACAGAGAAUUAGCUGCUAAUUGUCCAAACGUUGACCUCAUUGUCGGUGGCCACUCUCACACUUUUCUCUACUCAGGAACUUCGCCCAGUUCCGACGUUGCCGAGGAUGAGUAUCCGGUCGUGGUGGUCCAGGAAGACACUCAAAGGACGGUACUCAUCGUUCAGGCUUAUGCUUAUACCAAAUACCUGGGCAACAUCAGCGUUUGGUUCGACGCUGAUGGUGAAGUCUACGACUGGGAAGGGAAUCCUAUUCUACUCGACAGCUCCAUCGAAGAAGAUCCUGACGUACUGGCUGCCCUAGUACCGUGGCAAGUGGCGGUUGACGAGUUGGGCGACACAACGGUUGGAACGACCAAGGUCCGACUUUACAAAAAUUGCAGAUACGGAGAGUGUAAUGUGGGAAAUUUAAUUACCGACGCCAUGGUUGAUGCUUACGUAGGUUUAGCUGAGAACAGUACUUACUGGACUUACGCUGCAAUAGCUUGUAUAAACGCCGGAGGGAUUCGGAGCACCAUAGAAGACACAACCGGCGAAAUUACGUAUGCCGAUGCUGUGACUAGCCAACCCUUCGAGAACACUUGGGACGUGGUGGAGCUACAAGGCUCUGAUUUACUCCAGGUGUUAGAGGCGGGUGUAGCCACAAGCUAUAGCGAUACCGAGUUCGUCGGUAUAGGAUUUUUGCAGUGGUCUGGACUGAAGGUGACGUUCAACUUGUCGAAUGAGGCGUACUCGAGAGUGACCGAAUUGAAAGUGAGGUGCCGCGAAUGUGAAGUGCCGACUUAUGAAGGCGUCGACCUGGACGAAUGGUAUCGUAUUGUCGUCGUGUCAUUUCUAGUCACAGGAGGCGACGGUCACACGGUUCUGGCUACUCAGCAUCGCAACCACGAAGUUGGGACACGAGACAUAGAUCUCUACGUGAAAUACUUAGGGAAGAUGAGCCCCAUUAUUUUGGGGACUGAGGGUCGCAUGACUUUGGAAGGGACGUGGAGUGGUUAGCCAACAGCAGGGACCACUUUCCUGAUGAAAACACCCACCCCGAGAAUUAAAAGCAUGAUAUGAACGGCACACUUUCUUCCCCUCCUUCACCGACCUCAUCGUUUUCAUAGAUUUUUUGUACUGUUUCACAUCGUGGAACAACGUGACACUCUUCGUAUCUUGUACGAGCAUUUUCAUAUCCAUUUUUAUGUUUAUUUAAGAAUAUGCGUAAUUUUUCUUCAUUAAAACCCAAUUACCGCUUCCAAAUUUUAAGAAAAACUCAUAAAAUAGGUUUAUCCUUCUAUAUAUCUUCAACGUGCUUCUUGCAAAGAGAAAAGUGUUUCAGAAUGUUUCUAUUAUUUUAAAAACUUGAGAUAUCGCAUUUUCUUAACUCAUCAUUUUAAAAGUGCUCAACAAAGCCAAAAAAAAAUUCUUUAUUGGAAAAUUCUUGAAAUGCUUGGAACUAAAAAUGAAGCACUGCGAAAUUUUUCCAAAAUAUUUGCAGCUCAAAGAUGAAUGCGUAAAGAACUUUGAAAAAAUAAAUUGAGCGUCUUAGAGAUGUUGCAUUCGCCUGUAAAAGAUUUGAUAUAUUCAUGUAAAUAUAAAACAUACACGUUUAUGGAUUUAAUUGACAUUUAUUUAUGCGUUGUAUAAUUUCGGCGUAUAUAUUUCUUGUACGGGAUUUUCUCAACUUUUUAAUUUCACGGCGACGACGGCAUGAUGCCAACGUUUUGCACGCCAAAUUGUUGGUUAUGUAGAACUUCUUUCACCGGCGUCGUCACUUGCUAUGUUGAUAAUAUGUGAAACUGCUAAUACCCCCCAACCCGGCCAGACUCGGCAAACUGUUACGAAAAAUAACCCAGGGUUAUCAGGCUUUAUAUAUCCUCAGUCUACUCACUGCAGUUUAUAGUGUACGCUUAUAAUUAGAAAAAAAUUUAUUAAGUCCGAACUUUAUGUAACAAGUUGUGAAUAGCUGUUUCAUUCUAUUUUAAACUUCAGAGUUGCAAAACUCUGCGACAGUCAGUUACGCUUCUUCACUACGUUGUGAAUGAAGAGUUUUGUAUUCGUAUAAGUUGAGACCUUCCUUGACGCCAUGAUCCGUGGGGACGAUAUUUGCCGGAUGAGUUUCGUGGCGUUACUAACGUCGGCGUUGCUAGCGUCGACCGAGGCAUUCACUGCUCGUAAUCUCAUGUAUCCCGGACGGACCGAUCUUUUUGAAUUA